AUUGAACGCUGGCGGCAUGCUUUACACAUGCAAGUCGAACGGUAACAGGCCGCAAGGUGCUGACGAGUGGCGAACGGGUGAGUAAUGCAUCGGAACGUGCCCAGUCGUGGGGGAUAACGCAGCGAAAGCUGUGCUAAUACCGCAUACGAUCUAUGGAUGAAAGCGGGGGACCGUAAGGCCUCGCGCGAUUGGAGCGGCCGAUGUCAGAUUAGGUAGUUGGUGGGGUAAAGGCCUACCAAGCCGACGAUCUGUAGCUGGUCUGAGAGGACGACCAGCCACACUGGGACUGAGACACGGCCCAGACUCCUACGGGAGGCAGCAGUGGGGAAUUUUGGACAAUGGGCGCAAGCCUGAUCCAGCAAUGCCGCGUGCAGGAAGAAGGCCUUCGGGUUGUAAACUGCUUUUGUCAGGGAAGAAAUCCUCUAGGUUAAUACCCUUGGGGGGAUGACGGUACCUGAAGAAUAAGCACCGGCUAACUACGUGCCAGCCGCCGCCGUAACAC
rnacentral:rRNA from 1 species